UACGAAGGGUGCUAGCGUUGUUCGGAAUCACUGGGCGUAAAGCGCGCGUAGGCGGCUUUUCAAGUCAGGGGUGAAAUCCUUGGGCUCAACCCAAGAACUGCCUUUGAAACUGUAAAGCUGGAGUGUCGGAGGGGAUAGCGGAAUUCCUAAUGUAGUGGUGAAAUACGUAGAUAUUAGGAGGAACACCGGUGGCGAAGGCGGCUAUCUGGACGACAACUGACGCUGAGGCGCGAAAGCGUGGGGAUCAAACAGG
rnacentral:rRNA from 2 species